GCCUGGGUGGCUCAGUCGGUUGAGCGUCUGACUUCCGCUCAGGUCAUGAUCUCGCUGUUUGUGGGUUGGAGCCACACGUUAGGCU
rnacentral:tRNA from 1 species